rnacentral:pre_miRNA from 1 species
AAAAAGACAAACCAUGUGUUUUCGUGUCCAACGUUUGACCGUCUGUCUUAUUUAAAAAAAUUAUAAAAAAAUUAAAAAGACAAGUCAUGCAUAAAGUGUUAAUCAUGUUUUAUCAUCUAACAACAAUGAAAAUACUAAUUUAAAAAAAAAUCAUAUAAGACGGACAAUCAAACAUUGGAUAUGAAAACCCAGGGUUUGUCUUUUU